rnacentral:rRNA from 1 species
AUACGGGAGGCAGCAGUGGGGAAUAUUGGACAAUGGGCGCAAGCCUGAUCCAGCCAUGCCGCGUGAGUGAAGAAGGCCUUAGGGUUGUAAAGCUCUUUUGGCGGGGACGAUAAUGACGGUACCCGCAGAAUAAGCCCCGGCUAACUUCGUGCCAGCAGCCGCGGUAAUACGAAGGGGGCUAGCGUUGUUCGGAAUCACUGGGCGUAAAGCGCACGCAGGCGGAUUGAUAAGUCAGGGGUGAAAUCCCGGGGCUCAACCUCGGAAUUGCCUUUGAUACUGUCUGUCUUGAGUUCGGGAGAGGUUGGCGGAAUUCCUAGUGUAGAGGUGAAAUUCGUAGAUAUUAGGAAGAACACCAGUGGCGAAGGCGGCCAACUGGCCCGAAACUGACGCUCAUGUGCGAAAGCGUGGGGAGCAAACAGGAUUAGAUACCCCGGUAGU